GACGAACGCUGGCGGCGUGCUUAACACAUGCAAGUCGAACGGAAAGGCCCUGCUUGCAGGGUACUCGAGUGGCGAACGGGUGAGUAACACGUGGGUGAUCUGCCCUGCACUUCGGGAUAAGCCUGGGAAACUGGGUCUAAUACCGGAUAGGAGCCAUUUUUAGUGUGAUGGUUGGAAAGUUUUUUCGGUGUAGGAUGAGCUCGCGGCCUAUCAGCUUGUUGGUGGGGUAAUGGCCUACCAAGGCGGCGACGGGUAGCCGGCCUGAGAGGGUGGACGGCCACAUUGGGACUGAGAUACGGCCCAGACUCCUACGGGAGGCAGCAGCGGGGAAUAUUGCACAAUGGGCGCAAGCCUGAUGCAGCGACGCCGCGUGGGGGAUGACGGCCUUCGGGUUGGAAACUCCUUUCGCUAGGGACGAAGCUUUUUGUGACGGUACCUAGAUAAGAAGCACCGGCUAACUACGUG
rnacentral:rRNA from 1 species